CCAAGAAAAAAAAUUAUCUGUCACAAAAAUAAUUGACAUUACCCAUCCGGUGGACGGGAUCACUCACGUCAUAGUGUAAGCACUGUAUCAAAUCAUAUUGACAUUACCAUCCGGUUUGGGGCAGCUUGAGAAGGAGAAACAAUUGUUCUUGGCCGUCAAAUUUGAAGACUUCAGAGGUGCGUAUCUCUCUGCAGCCCAUGUUAUUGAUUGAGAUUCUUCAUUUUUUCUGUUGGUUUGCUUUUCGGUUUUCUGAUUUCGUUGAAGUGUCAAGAUUGAAAUUACUUUUUUGGUUUGGUCUUAUCGUGUAAAGUUUAAAACUAAAGAAGCAUCAGGUGAAGUGCGUGGGUCCCAAAUGAGUUUGCUGGCAUAAGUCCAACAUCGUCACUGCUUUGGUUAGCAAGGAAGUUUGGCUAAAUGUGUUACUUGGUUUCAGUAGUAGUUGUCCUGAACCGCCUUUAUCAACUUACCCCACUCACUCUAUAAUCACGUAACCGUGUAUCUCGUCUACCUAUUAAGACGUCGUUUCACCCUUUCAGAAACCCAAAAUCAAUUUCUCAUUGAAAUCAUACGGUCUCAACUGGUCUCCCUCUCUGAUGGGCUCAGUUUAUGUUUGAUUUAUCAGUUUUGAUUUCGAUUUUCAUCUAUGAGAUGAAUGUGUGUGAAGAAACGAUGUUUUUUCUCUACUACAGUGAUCACAUAAUUGGUAAUCCCUCUAAUUCAUCUUAGAUUGGAGAAUUUAAUUGAAGAAACUCCAAAGUCUAUUUAUGUGAUUUGGUGUACAGGAAAAAUAGAGUUCACUAAAAAUGCGGAUGGAUAUGUUAUUGGAGACGGUAUCAAGGUAUGUCACAUGACCUCAACAUACCAUUGAGUUUUUAAAUUUUUUUCAUAAAUUUGAUUUUGUUAUAUUUGCUGAUAUUUUAUUUUUGUUUAUACGUAAUGGCCAUUUACUAAAAGAGGCAUAAUGGGUAGCUCGGAGCCGCAAAUGGUCUGGGUAAUGGUGGCACUUGAAAUAUCUUUUAGUGGGGGUCAAAAUGGAUGGGCAAACCUGCAAACAAACAAUAUCAUUUUCUUAGUUAAAGAUGGAGAUAAUAAGAAAGAGUAUAUUCUUCUUUGUGACCGGAUGAAUCAUUGUCUCUGGAUGGACAAUCAAGAGUAUAUCAUUGGCUCUAAUUUGUUGAUGUGUUGGUUUUUAACCAUUGGUUAAUCAAGAGUAUAUCCUUGGAAAUGUUUGUCAAAAAAUGCGGGCUUGAUAUUGUUAAGGAAGCAAUGCCUGAAGAACAUAUGGAGCUGCUCACAAAUAUAAGAAAGAUAAAUGAACGAAAAGAGUGAAACCAUUCUGCUAACACCGAGGAAAACAAAUCUCGUCUAUCAAAAGCAACUACCUCAAGGUUGAGCAGAUGGAAUCAUACAAAAAUAUUUUCUGAUUUUGGUGAAACUGAAGAUAUGCUCAACUCCAAAAGGUCCAAGAGAGUAAGGGAGAGGUUGGCAUAAGAAAGUUAUAAACAGCUAGAUGUUGAACCACUUGACCUGCUUGACCGUGAAAAAGAGAAGAUCGUCCCUUAGAUCUUCCGAUAGCUGAUUUGAAAAGGAAGCUACGGUCUCAUGAGAUAGAUGCUGGUGGAAUGUUGAUCAUUUCUGAGGAGGGAAAAAUUUAAAAAAAAAAGGGUUACGACGAGCAUAGGGUCAGACUUUGAUGUGAGGAAUGUAGCAUCUCGAAAAACAGAAAAAACGCAGGAAAACGGGCCAGUCUGUGUGGGCGUAUAUGGGUCAGAAUACUCCAGCAAGAAGGCGGGUGGAGAUUUGAAGAGGAAGGGGAAGUUUGAGCCAUAUGCUUAUUAGCCACUGGACCGCAAGAUGGUUAGCCAAAGACUAGAGCAUUGAGCGGCUACAAGGAAGGGCAAACUAUCUAAACAUGAGAAGAAUAAAGGAAAAGCAGCCACAACAAAUAUGGUUAUUGUUGGUUAGGAGGAUCGUCAUAGUUUCUAUUUCAAGUUUGUUACAUAUUACUUUUGGAUGCAUACUAAAAAGAAGAUAUCUAAGAUCCAUAAGUUUUGUUUUUAUUUUUAUUUAUUAGCGAGUGGGACAUGCUAUUGUGAGAUCUGUGAUAUACAAUUGCAUUUUUGUUAUGGAAGUACUUCUG